rnacentral:rRNA from 1 species
GGGUUGUGAGGUUAAGCGACUAAGCGUACACGGUGGAUGCCCUGGCAGUCAGAGGCGAUGAAGGACGUGCUAAUCUGCGAAAAGCGUCGGUAAGGUGAUAUGAACCGUUAUAGCCGGCGAUGUCCGAAUGGGGAAACCCAGUGUGAUUCGUCACACUAUCGUUAACUGAAUACAUAGGUUAACGAGGCGAACCGGGGGAACUGAAACAUCUAAGUACCCCGAGGAAAAGAAAUCAACCGAGAUUCCCCCAGUAGCGGCGAGCGAACGGGGAGCAGCCCAGAGUCUGAAUCAGCUUGUGUGUUAGUGGAACGGUCUGGAAAGUCCGACGGUACAGGGUGAUAGUCCCGUACACCAAAAUGCACAGGUUGUGAACUCGAAGAGUAGGGCGGGACACGUGGUAUCCUGUCUGAAUAUGGGGGGACCAUCCUCCAAGGCUAAAUACUCCUGACUGACCGAUAGUGAACCAGUACCGUGAGGGAAAGGCGAAAAGAACCCCGGCGAGGGGAGUGAAAAAGAACCUGAAACCGUGUACGUACAAGCAGUGGGAGCACCUUCGGGUGUGACUGCGUACCUUUUGUAUAAUGGGUCAGCGACUUAUAUUCUGUAGCAAGGUUAACCGUAUAGGGGAGCCGCAGGGAAACCGAGUCUUAACUGGGCGUUAAGUUGCAGGGUAUAGACCCGAAACCCGGUGAUCUAGCCAUGGGCAGGUUGAAGGUUGGGUAACACUAACUGGAGGACCGAACCGACUAAUGUUGAAAAAUUAGCGGAUGACUUGUGGCUGGGGGUGAAAGGCCAAUCAAACCGGGAGAUAGCUGGUUCUCCCCGAAAGCUAUUUAGGUAGCGCCUCGUGAACUCAUCUUCGGGGGUAGAGCACUGUUUCGGCUAGGGGGUCAUCCCGACUUACCAACCCGAUGCAAACUACGAAUACCGAAGAAUGUUAUCACGGGAGACACACGGCGGGUGCUAACGUCCGUCGUGAAGAGGGAAACAACCCAGACCGCCAGCUAAGGUCCCAAAGUCAUGGUUAAGUGGGAAACGAUGUGGGAAGGCACAGACAGCCAGGAUGUUGGCUUAGAAGCAGCCAUCAUUUAAAGAAAGCGUAAUAGCUCACUGGUCGAGUCGGCCUGCGCGGAAGAUGUAACGGGGCUAAACCAUGCACCGAAGCUGCGGCAGCGACACUAUGUGUUGUUGGGUAGGGGAGCGUUCUGUAAGCCUGCGAAGGUGACCUGUGAGGGUUGCUGGAGGUAUCAGAAGUGCGAAUGCUGACAUAAGUAACGAUAAAGCGGGUGAAAAGCCCGCUCGCCGGAAGACCAAGGGUUCCUGUCCAACGUUAAUCGGGGCAGGGUGAGUCGACCCCUAAGGCGAGGCCGAAAGGCGUAGUCGAUGGGAAACAGGUUAAUAUUCCUGUACUUGGUGUUACUGCGAAGGGGGGACGGAGAAGGCUAUGUUAGCCGGGCGACGGUUGUCCCGGUUUAAGCAUGUAGGCUGGUUAUCCAGGCAAAUCCGGAUAAUCAAGGCUGAGGUGUGAUGACGAGGCACUACGGUGCUGAAGUAACAAAUGCCCUGCUUCCAGGAAAAGCCUCUAAGCAUCAGGUAACAUCAAAUCGUACCCCAAACCGACACAGGUGGUCAGGUAGAGAAUACCAAGGCGCUUGAGAGAACUCGGGUGAAGGAACUAGGCAAAAUGGUGCCGUAACUUCGGGAGAAGGCACGCUGGUGUGUAGGUGAAGUCCCUGCGGAUGGAGCUGAGACCAGUCGAAGAUACCAGCUGGCUGCAACUGUUUAUUAAAAACACAGCACUGUGCAAACACGAAAGUGGACGUAUACGGUGUGACGCCUGCCCGGUGCCGGAAGGUUAAUUGAUGGGGUUAUCCGUAAGGAGAAGCUCUUGAUCGAAGCCCCGGUAAACGGCGGCCGUAACUAUAACGGUCCUAAGGUAGCGAAAUUCCUUGUCGGGUAAGUUCCGACCUGCACGAAUGGCGUAAUGAUGGCCAGGCUGUCUCCACCCGAGACUCAGUGAAAUUGAACUCGCUGUGAAGAUGCAGUGUACCCGCGGCAAGACGGAAAGACCCCGUGAACCUUUACUAUAGCUUGACACUGAACAUUGAGCCUUGAUGUGUAGGAUAGGUGGGAGGCUUUGAAGCGUGGACGCCAGUCUGCGUGGAGCCAACCUUGAAAUACCACCCUUUAAUGUUUGAUGUUCUAACGUUGGCCCCUGACCGGGGUUGCGGACAGUGUCUGGUGGGUAGUUUGACUGGGGCGGUCUCCUCCCAAAGCGUAACGGAGGAGCACGAAGGUUAGCUAAUCCUGGUCGGACAUCAGGAGGUUAGUGCAAUGGCAUAAGCUAGCUUGACUGCGAGCGUGACGGCGCGAGCAGGUGCGAAAGCAGGUCAUAGUGAUCCGGUGGUUCUGAAUGGAAGGGCCAUCGCUCAACGGAUAAAAGGUACUCCGGGGAUAACAGGCUGAUACCGCCCAAGAGUUCAUAUCGACGGCGGUGUUUGGCACCUCGAUGUCGGCUCAUCACAUCCUGGGGCUGAAGUAGGUCCCAAGGGUAUGGCUGUUCGCCAUUUAAAGUGGUACGCGAGCUGGGUUUAGAACGUCGUGAGACAGUUCGGUCCCUAUCUGCCGUGGGCGCUGGAGAAUUGAGGGGGGCUGCUCCUAGUACGAGAGGACCGGAGUGGACGCAUCACUGGUGUUCGGGUUGUCAUGCCAAUGGCACUGCCCGGUAGCUAAAUGCGGAAGAGAUAAGUGCUGAAAGCAUCUAAGCACGAAACUUGCCCCGAGAUGAGUUCUCCCUGAGACUUUAAGUCUCCUGAAGGAACGUUGAAGACGACGACGUUGAUAGGCCGGGUGUGUAAGCGCAGCGAUGCGUUGAGCUAACCGGUACUAAUGUACCGUGAGGCUUAACCUUACAACGCCGAAG